rnacentral:rRNA from 1 species
UAGCAGAGGGUGCGAGCGGUUUGUCCGGAAUCACUGGGCGUAAAGGGCGCGUAGGUGGUGGCUUAAGCGUGCGGUGAAAGCUCGGGGCUCAACCCGAGUCGGCCGUGCGAACUGGGCUCACUGGAGCAUAGUAGAGGCAGGUGGAAUUCCGGGUGUAGCGGUGGAAUGCGUAGAGAUCCGGAAGAACGACCGGUGGCGAAGGCGGCCUGCUGGGGCUAUGGGCUGACACUGAGGCGCGGACAGCGUGGGGAGCCAAACAGGG